rnacentral:rRNA from 1 species
UACGUAGGGGGCAAGCGUUGUCCGGAUUUACUGGGCGUAAAGCGCCUGUAGGCGGGGCGGGAAGUCGGACGUGAAAGGCUGGGGCUCAACCCCAGUAUGCCGUUCGAAACUCUCGCUCUUGAGGGUCGGAGAGGAGCGUGGAAUUCCCGGUGUAGUGGUGAAAUGCGUAGAGAUGCGGAAGAACACCAGUGGCGAAGGCGGUCAACUGGCCUCAUAUUGACACUCAGACGCGAAGGCAUGGGUAGCGAACGGG